rnacentral:ribozyme from 1 species
CCUCUGUUUUCCCUUCUAAGGCCACCUCUUUCUCCGCAACUAUUCUUCUCUCUCUCCCUUUUGACUCAGAGGGUCCCCUUCCCCCAGAGCCUCCUAUUGCACCUCUCUCUUCUCUCGGUCUCUCUUUCUCUUACCCACCUCGGGCUGUCUCUUCUACUCCCUCUCCUC